UGAGUAUGAUUUAAUGUGUAUAAGAAAAUUGACCAUUUACAAUUAACAUAUUAGGUACUCAAGAAGAAAGUUGUGAUUGAAUAUGUCUUAAAGUACGGAUGGGGCAAAUAUUUUUUUUUUACAAUUUAGUAUUUUAUGUAAUAAAUAAAUUGUUGUGAUACACUAUUUUUAUUAUUUUUGUUGUAAUUCUUUUUAACACUUAAUAAAUAAUUUUUUAAACUAUUAUAAAUAUUAUGCUUAAAUAGUCUUUUGGUCACUGAAAGUUAGUGGAUUUUUUAUUUUGUUCCCGGUAAUUUUUUUUUGUCUGAGUCCUUAUAUCUCAUUUUGGUGUUGGUUUUAGUCCCUAAUAAUAAAAUACAUAGAAA
rnacentral:lncRNA from 1 species